rnacentral:lncRNA from 1 species
CCCGACGCGCCGCCCUCCUCUGGCCCGGACGCGCCGCCCUCCUCUGGCCCGGACGCGCCGCCCUCCUCUGGCCCGGACGCGCCGCCCUCCUCUGGCCCGGACGCGCCGCCCUCCUCUGACCCGGACGCGCCGCCCUCCUCUGACCCGGACGCGCCGCCCUCCUCUCCCUCCAUCCCAGAGCUGCCUGUCCUGCCUCCUCUUCCUCGACCAUCCUCAUCACACCUCCACGGUCAACAGUCCGACCCUUCAGUCUCCUAUCAGAACAUCUACUGUAUGAGAUGCUCCCCUGGUAACCCUGUUACCCUCUCUAACCCCCACAGCCCCGUUACCCUCUCUAACCCCCACAGCCCUGUUACCCUCUCUAACCCCCACAGCCCCGUUACCCUCUCUAACCCCCACAGCCCCGUUACCCUCUCUAACCCCCACAGCCCCGUUACCCUCUCUAACCCCCACAGCCCCGUUACCCUCUCUAACCCCACAGCCCUGUUACCCUCUCUAACCCCCACAGCCCUGUUACCCUCUCUAACCCCCACAGCCCUGUUACCCCCUCUAACCCCCACAGCCCCGUUACCCCCUCUAACCCCCACAGCCCCGUUACCCCUCGAACCCCCACAGCCCCGUUACCCCCUCGAACCCCCCUGCCCCGUUUCCCCCUCUAACCCCCACAGUCCCGUUACCCCCUCUAACCCCCACAGCCCCGUUACCCCUUCAACCCCCACAGCCUCGUUACCCCCUCUAACCCUCACAGCCCUGGUAGCCCUGUUACCCCCUCCCUCCCUCUCUCCUGCCCCUCCGUGCCCCAGGACCAUCCCAGGACCACCUCUAACCCCCACAGCCCCGUUACCCCCUCCCUCCCUCUCUCCUGCCCCUCCGUGCCCCAGGACCAUCCCAGGACCACCUCUAACCCCCACAGCCCCGUUACCCCCUCCCUCCCUCUCUCCUGCCCCUCCGUGCCCCAGGACCAUCCCAGGACCACCUCUAACCCCCCACAGCCCCGUUACCCCUCCCUCCCUCUCUCCUGCCCCUCCGUGCCCCAGGACCAUCCCAGGACCACCUCCCGUCAGGUGUUCUCUCCCUUCCCGAGUGUGAAACAGCACAGACGUUCAUCUGCAGCCCGUAACCUGGGUCUCUACGGUCCCACACCCAGAACCCCUACAGUUCACUUCCCUGGGCUCAGCCUGAGCCGUACUACCUCCACUCUGUCCACCAGGAGGCGAUAGAGGCCACGCGGCACUGACUGGCUGGCUCUGGUGGGGACGGGACCGGACCUGAGAGAGACUGGGGACUGGACCUGAGGGGGACGGGGGACGGGACUGGACCUGAGGGGGACGGGACUGGACCUGAGGGGGACGGGACUGGACCUGAGGGGGACGGGACUGGACCUGAGGGGGACG